rnacentral:rRNA from 1 species
AUUGAACGCUGGCGGCAGGCCUAACACAUGCAAGUCGAACGAGUGGCGGACGGGUGAGUAAUGUCUGGGAAACUGCCUGAUGGAGGGGGAUAACUACUGGAAACGGUAGCUAAUACCGCAUACCAUCGGAUGUUCCCAGAUGGCAUUAGCUAGUAGGUGGGGUAAAGGCUCACCUAGGCGACGAUCCCUAGCUGGUCUUAGAGGAUGACCGGCCACCCGGGAACGGAGACACGGUCCAGACUCCUAAGGGAGGCAGCAGUGGGGAGUAUUGCACAAUGUGCAAAAGCCUGAUGCAGCAAUGCGGCGUGUAUGAAGAAGGCCUUAGGGUUGUAAAGUACUUUCAGCGGGGAGGCGUUACCCGCAGAAGAAGCACCAGCUAACUCCGUGCCAGCAGCCGCGGUAAUUC